GACGAACGCUGGCGGCGUGCCUAAUACAUGCGAGUCGAGCGGACUUACAAAGCUUGCUUUUUAAGUUAGCGGCGGACGGGUGAGUAACACGUGGGCAACCUGCCUGUAAGACUGGGAUAACUUCGGGAAACCGGAGCUAAUACCGGAUAAUCCUUUUCUACUCAUGUAGAAAAGCUGAAAGACGGUUUACGCUGUCACUUUCAGAUGGGCCCGCGGCGCAUUAGCUAGUUGGUGAGGUAACGGCUCACCAAGGCGACGAUGCGUAGCCGACCUGAGAGGGUGAUCGGCCACACUGGGACUGAGACACGGCCCAGACUCCUACGGGAGGCAGCAGUAGGGAAUCUUCCGCAAUGGACGAAAGUCUGACGGAGCAACGCCGCGUGAGUGAUGAAGGUUUUCGGAUCGUAAAACUCUGUUGUUAGGGAAGAACAAGUACGAGAGUAACUGCUCGUACCUUGACGGUACCUAACCAGAAAGCCACGGCUAACUACGUG
rnacentral:rRNA from 1 species